rnacentral:rRNA from 1 species
GCAUAUCAAUAAGCGGAGGAAAAGAAACUAACAAGGAUUCCCCUAGUAACUGCGAGUGAAGCGGGAAAAGCUCAAAUUUAAAAUCUGAUAGUCUUUGACUGUCCGAGUUGUAAUCUAGAGAAGCAUUAUCCGCGCUGGACCAUGUAUAAGUCUCCUGGAAUGGAGCGUCAUAGAGGGUGAGAAUCCCGUCUUCAACAUGGACUACCAGGGCUUUGUGAUAUGCUCUCAAAGAGUCGAGUUGUUUGGGAAUGCAGCUCUAAAUGGGUGGUAAAUUCCAUCUAAAGCUAAAUAUUGGCGAGAGACCGAUAGUGAACAAGUACCGUGAGGGAAAGAUGAAAAGAACUUUGAAAAGAGAGUUAAACAGUAUGUGAAAUUGUUGAAAGGGAAACGCUUGAAGUCAGYCACAUUGAUUAGGGAUCAACCUUGCUUUUGCUUGGUGUAUUUUCUAAUUAAUGGGUCAGCAUCAAUUUUGACCAGUGGAAAAAGAUUGAGAGAAUGUAGCAUCUUCGGAUGUGUUAUAGCUUUUAGUUGUAUACAUUGGUUGAGAUUGAGGAACUCAGCAUGCCGCAAGGCCGGGUUUUAAACCACGUUCAUGCUUAGGAUGCUGGCAUAAUGGCUUUAAUCGACCCGUCUUGAAACACGGACCA